UACGUAGGGCGCAAGCGUUAUCCGGAAUUAUUGGGCGUAAAGAGCUCGUAGGCGGUUUGUCGCGUCUGCCGUGAAAGUCCGGGGCUCAACCCCGGAUCUGCGGUGGGUACGGGCAGACUAGAGUGAUGUAGGGGAGACUGGAAUUCCUGGUGUAGCGGUGAAAUGCGCAGAUAUUAGGAGGAACACCGAUGGCGAAGGCAGGUCUCUGGGCAUUAACUGACGCUGAGGAGCGAAAGCAUGGGGAGCGAACAGG
rnacentral:rRNA from 1 species